rnacentral:sRNA from 1 species
GUUCUCCUGGUAUAGUUAAAAAAAAUCUCCUCUGGUACUACUGAAACAACUAAUUUUUCUUAUUUUGUUUGUUUCUCUUUAUUAUUAAAUACUAUCUGAAUUAACUCUUUAGUAGUUGGCCUGGUUGAAGCUCUGUGAGGAACAAAGCAGCCCUCUCUAGGUGAACUGCUUGACUUUACCACCUGAAGGAGUAUUUACUGCAAGAAUUAACAAAGCAUGUGUUCCUGAUCCAAGCAGAACCCUGUUAUUUGAAGAGCCUGAGAAAUCUUAUCCCAUUUACAAAUAUCCUGGGAGUGCAUCCAAAGUGAAACUUGGGCAUCCUCAAUACUAAGAAAUCUCUGAGAAUGGCUGGGUCUUGGCUCUUUGACCUUACCUCUACUCCACUGAAAAACAUGAUUAUCUAAAAUUGUAUUAGGUGGAUGAACCACAUCAAAGACUUCCAGAAGCCACUCCAGUGACGAUAAGAUAAAUGUCAGAAUCGCAUAACCCCCAGGAUCAGGCAAGUGUUAUCCUCUCUUAAAACUGUUUACAACCAUGAUCUCUUUUUGGGAAUCAUUACAUUUGACUUGCUGCUUAUUUUUGUUGGAUGUUACCAGUGCUUGGUGAUAAAACUUGAUGUGGCUCUUUGCCUUGAAAAAGAAAAAA